GCUACUCGGGAGGCUGAGACACUAGAAUCCGUUUGAAACCAUGAGGUGAGGGUUGCAGUGAGCUGGGAUCAUGCCACCGCACUCCAGGCUGGUCGACAGUGAGUUUCUAUCUCAAAAAAAAAAAAAAAAGAAAGAAAGAAAAAAGAAAAAAGUAUUUACUUUGUGCUUAACAUUGUACAUGGGGGAAAAUACAAAAGUAAAGUAAAUGUUGUGACACUUUCUCACAGGCCGUUGAUAUUUCAGAAGAUGAAAUGGCAUUUUAUUUCUUAUCCCAUUAGCUAUCAUGUGAUGCUCAUAGUUGCCUAGGUAAUUACUAAUUCAUCUAGUCAUCUACAUUUAUUGACUGUUUUUUCUGUGCCGGGCAUUGUGCAUACAAAGAUAAACAAGAUAUAAUGAACAAGAUAUAGCUACUUAAUAUAAACCAAGAAAAUUCUUCAUAUCCACUACCACCCAGUCAGCUUUUCCUGCAGUCUGUUCCCAAUCACCCAAGUCCUUAAACUCCAAAUCUACAAAAUAGAGCUGAGGUUUUCAACUAGUGGUGUAUGUGAGUGUCAUUGCUAUGGUGGGCAUUAUGUGGCAGAUAAAAAUACAAUACCUGGAUCUGUGAAAGUAAAAUUGUGAAAUGUUCAGAAUGAAAUCACAGUGAAAGUAGUAUAUAUUAAAACUGUGGAAAGCAAUCAAAGUGGUAUCUACAUAAAUAUGGAGCCACUCUCUUUUGUUGUUAAUUUAUUAUUGUGUCAUACCAUAAUCAAACAAUGUGAUAUCACCCAUAUGAAAUCAAACAUUUUUUAACUUGUUGAGAUUUCUUUUGUGGCUUGUUUUUUUUCCUAAAUUUUUCUCACUCUCUAAAGCAAGGUAAAGAAUUACCUAAGGAGCUUUUACAAAAAGAUCUGUAGCAGUAGUCUGCCAGAAAUAAAAUCUCAACAAGUUAAAAAAUGUUUGAUUUCAUAUAGGUGGUAUGUUGUGUGAUUAUGAUGUAAUACAAUAACAAAUUAACAAAAGUGAGUGGCUGCAUAUCUAUACAUUUGGAAACUAACAAAGCACAUCUAUAUAUAAUUCUCUGGAUAAAGAGAUAGUCAAAAUAAAAUUGUGAAAUGUUCAGAAUGAAACCACAAUGAAAGUAGUAUAUAUCAAAACUGUGGAAAGCAGCCAAAGAGGUAUUCAGAAGGAAAUUUAUAGGCUUGAUCUUUUAUUAGAAAAUGAGAAAGAUUCAAAAUAAAGUACUCAACUCAGGAUAGAAAAGGAACAAAAAUAAAUCCCAAAGAGUAAAUGAAUUUACAGCAGAUUAAAGAUAAAAGCAAAAUUAAUGAAGCAAAACAACCUUCAUAGAAUUGGUUAAUAAAACCAAAAGUUUGUUUCUUGAAAAAGAUGAAAAAAGCAAACAAACUUUGGUUGUGAUAAACAUACAGUAUUAGCAUUAGUAGUAGUAGUAGUAGUAAGGAAGCAUGUAUAUAAUGCUCUAUGGCAGAGACAUUCUUUACCCACCAGAGGUAUGUGUGCAUCCAUACCUUUCCAGGCACUCUUGGUUGAGUUUGAUGCUGGUGAUUGAGCUACAAGAGGAGUGACAUGUGCCAUAUCUGAACCAAACCAUUUACAAGCCUGUGUGCAAUCCUUCAGCUCCUGUCUUUCUCUGCAGCUGUGAUCUGGAAAGCCAUGUGCUUAGACAGUGAAGCCAUUGGAUGGAUGCCUCCUGGUUUACUGAGUUCCCAAAGAGGGGACAGAUGCUCGGGAGUUGCCCAAUUGCCAUAGCACUUGUGUGAGCAAGAAAUUCAACUUUGGAAAAAUGUUACAGAUCACACUUUUGUCAAGAAGCCAAAGAACAAAGUUGAUUAAAACAUUAUGCCUGGAAAUAAAGGGGAACAGGACAUCAGCAAAAUUCUUUUUAUCAAUUCACAUGUUGAAGACAUGUAAGAUCAAUGGAACACAAAAUGGAAGAGAAAUCAUAAUCAUAUGUGUGAAGACUAGCAGGUCCACAGGAUACCAAGCAGAAGGUCUCAUACAAGUGUUGAAAUGAGGGAAGAAGUGGAAUCAGUUUUUUAAAGAUUAAUGAGAUAAUACAAACAAGCACCCAGAGAGAACAACGCAGUGCAACUUCAUCAAGCUUCCUUGGAGCUUCACCAAGAGUUUAUGCACCAUAGUACACUCAGGUUUUUAAAAAGUGUUACAAUAUUUCAGAAUCAGUUAAAGGACCCUAUAAAUUCCUCCCAGAACCCAUUUUCUUUCCUUCUCUUUCAGAAUUUACCACUAUACCAGAGAGUUAGAGCUCGCUAAAAAAUCUAAGUUGGGGUCGUAUGAAGUUUCGGCUAGAGAAAUAUAAAUUGAAACCACUUUUGGAUCAAGGCAUUCAGAGCAAGGGUGGUCACCCCCGUCCUUCUCUGAUGUGGUGCAUCUUGCAGGCCAUGUGCCCCAAAUGUCCAGAUACAAGUGCCACUUGACUCGUAUCACACUCACAUCAGAUGAGGAAUAUGUCUUUAUAAGCCAAUGGGAUUUUGGGAUGUGCUUAUUGACACUCCAUAGCCUAUUCUUUCCUGAGUAACAUAGACAUAACUGCUCAUUUGGGUGUUUAUUAUUUAUUGUUUUAAUAACAUUGCUGCAUAUAUAUGAUGUACAGAUAAUAUUCAGGUUAUUGUAAUGUUUUGAAAUAUGCUGUAAGUGGUAUGAUACGCUAAUAUAGUUGUGUAACUCUCCCUCUCAACAUGAAUUUUUGGGGAUAUAUCCAUGUUGAUACUUUUAGGCUUAAGUUCAUUUAGUAAACAUUUAUUACAGUUCAUUCAUUCAUUCUCUGUUGAUGGACAUUUAGGCUGUUUGUUUUUUUCUGUCAUAAACAGCGCUGAAAUGAAUAGUUCAUGUCUCCUCCUGCAUGUGGUAGGAGUUCCUGGAGAGUUUAUAUCUAGAAGAGGAAUUGCUGAAUUCAAGGGUAUGUGCAACUUCAGUUUUACCAGGUAUUGUGAAAUUGCUUCCUAAAGUUAUAUCAAAAAAACUUGCCAUUUUUCUUUAAUGUCAUAAUUCCAGCAAACACCAUUUCUAUGAUUUCAAGUAGCUUUUUCAAAUUAUGUAUCCUCAGUGAUAUACACUCAGUACCUUGAAUAGAUUGAACCAAGUCCAUCAGGGUAAAAAAACCCUACAUGGAUUUUAACGUUAAAGAUGAGCUCUUGGAUAUUCUUUAGCAGACUAAACUGUGGUGCA